rnacentral:misc_RNA from 1 species
UGCGCUUCGGCGUAGCUGACCGUCGUGAAGCUGUCUUUUCACUCCUCCUCCUGUUGCGCUUCGUUUUGCGGGAGAGGAACGUUGUUGGUUGUCUGUGCGGUUCUACCCUCGAGGGGAAUAACGAUCUUUUGUUUCAUGAUGGAUUUUUGCUUGCCCCUCGGUGUUUUUUAUCGUCGGCGUAGCUGAUUUGUGGGCUAAAUACUUGAGCUGCAGCGGGUGUACGCACCUGUAUCCAGCACUUGUGUUUUGUCGGCUCUCGCGGAUGCAGUGUUCAUUGAGGAAUCAGUUGGCCUCUGGUCCCCUGAUUUCCUCGGGAGGUCCCUUGCACGGAUCAUUGCUCUGUCGCUCUGCUAACCUGUCCCGGUUGUUGGGAUGUCGUGGCGGGGCGUGCGGGGCGUGCUCCCGUGCAUGCGAGAUGUUUUGCCCGAUUAUCGGAAUGAGCGACUGCCGGUUCACGUCUUGUGAGCGGACGCCUAUUUAUUUAGGGUUUGCCGCAACGAUGUGUCGGCGCUCGUUUAAGACGUGCUACCUGGUUGAUCCUGCCAGUA